rnacentral:tRNA from 1 species
GCCCUCAUAGUCUAAUGGUUAGGACGCUGGCCUCUCACGCCGGUAGUAGGGGUUCGAAUCCCCUUGGGGGUACCA